rnacentral:rRNA from 1 species
GACGAACGCUGGCGGCGUGCCUAAUACAUGCAAGUCGAACGCAGUUGCGAACGGGUGAGUAACGCGUAGGUAACUGCCUCAUAGCGGGGGAUAACUAUUGGAAACGAUAGCUAAUACCGCCUACUGUGAGAUGGACCUGCGUUGUAUUAGCUAGUUGGUGAGGUAAAGGCUCACCAAGGCGACGAUACAUAGCCGAGCUGAGAGGGUGAGCGGCCACAAUGGGAAUGAGAAACGGCCCAGAACCCUACGGGAGGGAGCAGUAGGGAAUCUUCGGAAAUGGAGGGAAGUCUGACCGAGCAACGCCGGGGGAGUGAAGAAGGUUUUCGGAUCGGAAAGCUCUGUUGUGAGAGAAGCGGUAACUAACCGGAAAGGGACGGCUAACUACGUGCCAGCAGCCGCGGUAAUAC